rnacentral:lncRNA from 1 species
GGCGGCCAUGUUUUUUGACGGAUCAAAAAUCGAAGCACACACUUUGUGCAGGAUAAUCUAAGGAACAAUCAUGCUAAGUUUCAUUCAAAUCCAUUCAGUAGUUUCAGAGGAGAAGAUGUUUGAAAAAUUGUUAACGACGACAGACGACGACGACGACGACGACGGACGCCAAGUGAUGAGAAAAGCUCACAUGGCCUUUUAGGCCAGGUGAGCUAAAAAAACAUGUCAU